GUGAGGAAUUUUACGCAAUGGGCGAAAGCCUGACGGAGCAAUGCCGCGUGAAGGAUUAAGGUCCUCUGGAUUGUAAACUUCUUUUAUAAGGGACGAAAAAAGGCUUUUCUAAGUCGUCUGACGGUACCUUAUGAAUAAGCACCGGCUAACUCCGUGCCAGCAGCCGCGGUAAUACGGAGGGUGCAAGCGUUAUCCGGAUUCCCUGGGUUUAAAGGGUGCGUAGGCGGGCCGGUAAGUCAGUGGUGAAAUCCUAGAGCUUAACUAUAGACCUGCCAUAGAUACUAUCUGUCUUGAAUAUUGUUGAGGUAAGCUGAUUAUGUCAUGUAGCAGUGAAAUGCUUAGAUAUGACAUAGAGCACCUAUUGCGAAGGCAGAUUACUACGCAUAUAUUGACGCUGAGGAACGAAAGCGUGGGGAUCAAACAGGAUUAGAAACCCCAGUAGUCC
rnacentral:rRNA from 1 species